rnacentral:precursor_RNA from 1 species
CCCAGGAGGUGGAGGUUGCAGUGAGCUGAGAUCAUGUGCCAUUGCACUCCUGCUUGGGUG